UAUAUUUCUGGCUUAUGGCAAUGAGUGUUCAAAUAUCGGUGCCAGACACCCAGAAGGGGCCCUGGGAAGGGACUGCUUUUGGCAAGAGAAGAUCCUGAGUUUGGUUUUGACUGUGCUGAAUUCAAGAUUCCUUGGAAGCAUCAUAAAAGAGGCCAAAUAGGCAAGUGGAGAAACCAUUUCCACCAAACCCAUCUCCCUCUUCAGGGUUCACCAAGUGAGUUUUGAUAACCUGCAAUGGGCACCCUUGAGGUUUAAAAGAACUUUAUUCCUACCUCAGUCUUUCUUGUCCUCUUCCAGGGAUUUGAUUACCCCCCCAGGAGAUGAAACAUCCUAGAACCCCAAAAUCGGGCUACCUGGAAAUGCAGACAACUGUGGGUAGCUCUGGACAAGCCCUGGGUUCCCAGGGGACAUAACUCCCUGACCUGCGAGGUGACAGGAGGUCCAGGAAAGGUGCUGUGAAUGCUGCAGUGUGGCGGGGAGGUCUCUCACAUGUCCCUAACAAGUAUACUGACCUGGCUCUUAUCACAGGCCAGGAUCAACCUCAAGCUGUUCACUCUACCGGGUGGAUUGUUUCAAUAGCUAAAAGGGAGGGGAAAGAACACCAUGUCGACACCAUACUAUUACAGAAGAGCCUAUGUCUCCCCCCUCCUCAACCCCUUCUGCCUAACGCUUAGUUACCAUUGUAAGCAGGUCACAGUGACAUAAUGUUCACAGUCCUCAACGUUUGUGGCAGGGAGGGGAGAACAAACAGGUGUCUAUGACCCUGACUGGCAUCAGCCAUAGCCAAGGCUGACAGAGCUCCCCCUCCAGGGAGGAUGACAUCCAAAAAGCUGGACUUAAGAUUCCCAAGCUAGAAGAGUGACCCAAAUGGCCUGGGACUCUCUGGCACAUCGGAGCUCAGCAAUGAUUCUGUGGCUCCAAGUAGCCCAAUAAGCCAGCCACAGGUGGAAGCUGCCCACGUAGCAGGCACCAAGCCCUCACUGCACCCACGGUGUGCAUUCACCAUUUUCUGUCAGCAAAAAAAAGCAAGGCAAGGAAAGAUGAAAA
rnacentral:lncRNA from 10 species